rnacentral:misc_RNA from 1 species
UCUUCGUAGGUGAACCUGCGAAGGGAUCAUUACUGAGAUAGGGUUCUUCCGAGCCCGACCUCCAACCCUUUGUGAAUCGUACUCGUUGCUUCGGGGGCGACCCUGCCGUCCGCGGCUGAGCGCCCCCGGGGUCAAUCAAACACUGCAUUCUCUGCGUCGGAGUAUUAGUAAAUCUAAUCAAAACUUUCAACAACGGAUCUCUUGGUUCUGGCAUCGAUGAAGAACGCAGC